rnacentral:misc_RNA from 1 species
UUUUUUAAAGUGGAAAAUAUUUUUAUGCUUUCAUAAUCAUCCAAGACACGAUGAACAUGAUAAUGUGCGGUUAUGUGACAUUGAAACAACCUUCAACAGUGAAAUUUUAUCUCUGAAACAGUAUUCAGAUGUAUAUAAUGUUAAUAUACCUUAAAUAAUGUCUGAAGAGGAUUUAUGAUUAUGAUAUAUCUAGAUAACAAAUUGUGAAUAAUUGAAUUUCAGUAUGACAUAAAAAUUUAUUGUGUUUGCGAUGCAAAUUCGGUGCCCGAAGAAGAUUUCAGUCUAGUGGAAGAUAUUUCGUUGGCGCACGAAACGGGCAGAGCGAGUACCGCUCCGCUGGUGGGCUAUUCCCGCGAGUGGCGCUACUCCCCCGGAUUUGGAGAGCUCGGUGUUGCUGAUGCGCGCACCGAGACCCGAUUCAUAGUUGUACCAGAGCAUAUAUCAAUCAUAGAAAGUUCUUAAAAUUAGAUUGAUCACAACACUUUCUUCACACGCUUUCAAAAGCACAUUUCGUUGUGAGCACAAUAGUUAUUUUACCGAAAAUACAUCUCCAUCGCUAGGCACGGAGUCUUGAAAACUGUACUGUUUUGUGAGCCACGUCAUACAAUACAGAUUGAAACUUCCAACGAAUAUUUUCUCUUAGAUAAGAACGACAUCUUGCAAAGAAGAAGCAACAAUAAUAUACUUGGCGGAUAAUUUAAAUAAAAUUUGCAUUAAUUGCGCAAAAUGUAAUAUAAAUUACUUUUCAAUACUUUUUAAAUACCAUUAAAUCCCCAUUUUUUUCACAUAUUAAUUUUCCAACUUUACAGUCUUGCUGUGAUAUCAUGCUGUUGAAGAAAUCUCUGCAGAAUUCUCUAUAUGUUUCUUUGCUCUCGUAUGUUCACCAUUUUAUUUCGUAUUGAAUAUUAGAACUAAGAAAAUGUUUUAAAUAGUAAAAUCAAAAUAUAUAGUAUAAUAACUUCCUAAAUACGUAGAACGCACUAUUUUAGAACUUUAAAACAUUCUUUUUGUAUUUCAAAACACACCUACUUGUUAAAAGAGAAAUGGUUUUAUCAUUAGCAAUUCGUAAUAAAAUUAACAUAUAAUUAAAUAUAAUUAAAAUAAGAUGUUUAUAAAACAUAAACACAUUUUCGUUUUUGUUAUUCUUUUAUUUUUAAUAUUAUUAUUCGAUUUAUAUAUUCAUAACAUAUCAGUUUUUAAAAGAAGAAUUAGUUCGUUUUAAUCAUUUUAAUUACAAUAAAUAUAAUAAUUAUAAUAAUAUAUUUAUGUCUGUGUAAACAUAUAAUCAUAAAAAUAUACGCAUAAAAACAAGUUAUAUAAAGAAUCAAAUUCAAAUACGAAAAAUUCUGAAAUGUAACUUAAUUUGAUUCCUCAUUAAUUUUGUUCGCUAUCUGCAACUUCAGCUGUACUUAUAAAUACAUUUCUAGCAU